rnacentral:rRNA from 1 species
UACGUAGGGGGCAAGCGUUGUCCGGAAUCAUUGGGCGUAAAGCGCGUGUAGGCGGCCCGAUAAGUCCGCUGUGAAAGUCCAGGGCUCAACCCUGGAAUGCCGGUGGAUACUGUCGGGCUAGAGUGCGGAAGAGGCGAGUGGAAUUCCUGGUGUAGCGGUGAAAUGCGCAGAUAUCAGGAGGAACACCGAUUGCGAAGGCAGCUCGCUGGGACGUUACUGACGCUGAGACGCGAAAGCGUGGGGAGCAAACAGG